CGGAUAUCUUGUGAAUAAAAAAUUGCAUCCUUAGAUAAGUAUUUUUAGUAUUCCCUUAGAUUUAAACUCCGUAUGAGGCGAACCCCACUGGGCUUUCUGAAACAGGCUUUUGCUAAAUCUUCCCUUGGUUUUCAAAAAGGAUAAGAACUAAAAGGACUGAUUCUCUGGUUGAUUUAUGUGUGAAGAACAUGAACACUUGUUUAAUUCUUCAUCUUUAACAUAACAGAUCCAAGGCUAGAAAAUUCUUAGUCUUU